UGCAGUUUUCUGCAUGUUUUUGUUUCUUUGUGCCUCAUUCAGGCAUGUGUCUUUUUUUUAUUUCUACAUCAGUAGUGUAUCAUCAGCGUGUUGUUGUUGUUGAGUCUUGGCCUUCUUGACUAAUGGGCUCUAGUCCCACUUCCAGCACUCUGUGAUCAUACCUCUGAAGACAGACAACUGCAGCGUGACAGGAAGAGAAGCAGUGUGUAUUGCCAGGAAAAAUGAAGAGGAGAAAGGCAGUGCUCCUAAACUUAAAGUAAUCUAAAGGAAAACAGCUAGAAGACAAUGCAAGAAUGGCACAUUUCCUGCCUUGCUGGAAAGAAAGGAAGUCUCUUGAUCUCUCUUCUUGUCACUAGACAUGUUUCAGAGGAAAAGAGAAAUUUCCUGUGAACCAGCCACAGAGUAUCUGCACAUUUCCCAAUCUCUAUUUCAGACUAUUCAACCUGUAGCAGUUGAGAGAAAACUGUUAGUAACAUUCCUAUCUCUGAACAACUUUUUUGAAGUGUUUUUGAAAUUUUUGCAGAGGAGGUUAGUUUGGAGCACUGAAAAUUGCCAUGUGUGUAAGUGUCAGUGCUCUGUUUUCAUGUUUGGAUGCCUGCAUAAGCUUGGUAGUGUGGCCACUUUGUCACAGCCAAAGGGAGGUGGUACUCUUGCUCAGUCAUAUAGAUGACAUGUUGGCAGUGCUUAGCAUUAUGACUUUGUGGGAGCAUUGUGGAAAUAUUUGGAUUCUGAUAUAAAGUGAGUAUCCCCCUGGCAGUUGUGUUGGAACAUGCACUUUAUUUUUUUGAAAAUACACUUCAGCAUUUUGCACACUAAGAUGUAGCUUUGUCCAAGUGGUCUCUUAAUGUGCAGUUAUAAAUAAAUUACUGUUUGUUUUUCUUGUUGAAUAUACUCACAUAGGCCUUUUUCAGAGUCUUCUUUAAUUUCAUGAAGAUAGAACAUAGAAAAUUAUGUUCUGUGGCCACUAAUUUAAAUCAUGGCUAAUCUUUGGAGAGCUAUUUUACAGCGAAAUAUGCUAUUUAAUAUACAUAAUAGUUUUUUUCUCUCUAUAAUUGCACAGAAGGGAUUGUUUCCAAUAAAUUAAAAUUUCUUUGACACCAAUUAUUUUUGCAAUAUGAAGAUGUAGUAUUUUACCUUCAUUUCAUUUUCUCUAAAUUAAUCUGAUGAUGAUUAGAUUUAAAUAAUAAAAAUAAUGAGGUAUGUUUUCUUCUGUAAAUUACUUCUUUGUCAUGCGUGCUUCCCUUUGUAUUGAACUUGGUGACUUAUUUGCUUUUAGGAGUUCUGAAAUAUUCUGACACUAAUUACAUUUUGAAAUAUAACCUUCCAACUAUGUUGCUUCUGUUUUUUACUCAUUUCAGAUUGGUUUAGAAGCAUUGGCUUGUUAUUUUAUUGCUGAAUAUUGAAGCUGAGAGCCAUAUUACAUAUAUCAGUGUGCUUUCUUUUCCAUCUUUAGCUAUGUUAAUUAAAUUCUGUAUCCUCUAUAUUGCUCAUGAUUUGUGAUGUCUGUUGCCAAAUCCCAGGCUCUGCAAUGUGAAAUCUAUUCAAUAUAAAUAUUUUAUUUGUCCAACUGUUUUUGAAACUAGUUCAGCCAUAGUCUCUAGUAUUUUCUUUUUGUUGUGUACUAAUUGGCCAUUGCAGUGUAUAACAAAAACAAAGGAAAAUGUUCUGACAUGUUCCAUGCAAAAAUAAUAGAUUAAGAUAAUAUUUUCUCCUGCUGCUAGGAAAAAAAUGCAAAGAUCUGUCAUUAAAGUUGCUGGUCUAAAUGUGACAAAAAGGUAGUGAAUUAUCAAUUUAAUCAUAGCAGGUGAGUCCAGUGCUCUAUCUGGCUGAACACUGGACAUGAGACAGACCCCAGUACCAAGAAUGUAAGAGGAAGUUACAAAUAACUUUGUGUUCAUCAGUGAUAUAUUUGAUCUUUAGGGGAAAAUAUUAAUGUGUUGCAGGUGGCACUUGCCUUAUGUCUUAAAGCUAUAAACACACAAAGAUGAUCACAGUGGGUCAGACCAAAGAUCUAUCUGAUGCUGUAUUCUGACUCCUACAAAAUCUGCACAUGAAUGUUUAGGAAGGAGUAAAACUAGAGUAAGCAUAUAGGAUGCUUCCCUUCUACGUUUUUACCAUUAUCUGACUGUUUUCAUCUCAGGGAAUUUUAUAUACUGAGCCUGACUUCCCUUUGCUUAGGUUAUCCAAGACCUAACAAGGUCUUAGAAGAUAUCUUCUAUUAUUCUGGCUCCACUUGAGCCAGGUAAGAUUCUGCAUCCCACAGCAUCAUGGGUGUCCCAGAUAGAGAAUCAGUUCCUUUUUGUGUGUGGAGCCUGUCUCCUGCUAUCUUAAUUUAAUGUCCCCUAGUUCUGCUACUGUAGAAGAGAAAUUAAGCAGGUCAUUCCUAACUGCAUUUUUCAUACCAGUUAUGAUUUUGUAAUUUUCUCAUUUCUUCCCUCAGUUGCUUCUUUUGUAUGUCAGAUAUUGUUAGCUUUGUUGAUUCUUGUACAAAAGCUGCCCUACACCUUUGGUUUCCUUCUCAUUUUCUCUGUGCAUAUUUUAUGCUACUCUAUUCCUUCUGAGAUUAAGAAAUAAACAACAUUUAAGAUACGGGUCUACCAUGGAUUUAUAUAAUGCCAUAAUGAAGUUUUCCAAUUUAUUCUCUAUUAAUUUUUCAAUAGUUUCUAACAUAUGCUUAGUCCUUUUCAACUACUACUGACUACUGAGCGACCAUAUUCAUGGAACUGUAGAUCAUAAUCCAAAGAUCAUGCUCUGAAGCUGUAAUGCUCAGUUCAGCAGCCAUGACUUUAAAAGUGGAAUUGAGAUUGUUUCUUCCAUCUGACUAACUGUAUUUUUACCUAUAUUGAACAUCUGACAUUUUAUUACUCAGGUUCUUAAUUUCAUAAGAUCUUUCUGCAAUUUUUCAUGACUCUUGUCCUUCCUACUUUAAUAACUCAGUGUUGUCAGCAAACUGCCAGCUCACCCCUUUUGUGAGGUUAUAUUUAUGACUAUAUAGACCAGCAGGGGUCCCAGUGAUAAUCUGCUGAUUUUCUUUCACUGCUUGAGACCUGGUCAUAUUAUACCUACCUUCUUUUCCCCAUAAUUUAGUGAAUUAUCUAUCCUGUGUGUGUGUUUUUUUUCUCUUGAGUAUGGUAGUGUAGUUCUUAUAAAGCUUUUAGUGAAAGAAUUUUUUGAAACCUUUGUGGAGGCCAAGUAGGUUAUACCAAGCUGAUGGUCUGUAUCUAGUUUCUUGUUGAAAUCCAACACCUAGAAGUCCAAUAGAUUUUCAAGGCUACACUUCCCCUUGAACAGCCACAUUUUCUUUUUCCAAUAGAUCACACUUAUCCUAGUUUUCAUUCAAUCUGUCUUUUAUUAAGGUUUUUACAAACUGACCUGGAAUAAGAAUCAGACUUUGCAUCUAACCCCUUAGGAAUCCUUUCCUACCUUUAUUUUAUCAUUUUAUUUUAUUUUAAUGACACCACAUUUUUUAUUUUCAGAUACCAGGUCAGUUUAGUCAGGAAUUUAUACAUCAUUGUUUGUCUCCUUCAUCCCCGAGCUCCCUUGGAACUCCUGGGUGGGCACCAUCUGGUCCUGUUGAGCUCCUACUCUUCAUUUUGUCCAUUUGUGUCAAUAUUUUUUUGACAAUGAUUUUAGUUUUGGAAGGAUCCUCAGACUCCUCUGACAAGUCUUCUAGGCAGAAA